rnacentral:rRNA from 1 species
UACGUAGGGGGCAAGCGUUGUCCGGAAUCAUUGGGCGUAAAGCGCGUGUAGGCGGGUCGGUAAGUCCGCUCUGAAAGCCCGGGGCUCAACCCCGGGAGGCGGGUGGAUACUGUCGACCUCGAGUCCGGAAGAGGCGAGUGGAAUUCCUGGUGUAGCGGUGAAAUGCGUAGAUAUCAAGAGGAACACCAGUGGCGAAGGCGAGUCCCUGGACGACACCUGACACUGAGGCACGAAAGCCAAGGGAGCAAACAGG